rnacentral:misc_RNA from 1 species
AAACAGUUUGAAUCUUAGCAGCAGCCCAUUUCUCCCGCCCACCUGUAAACAUAGCACCCCUGCCUUGGCUAGUCAAUCUCACCACCGCAACAGCCGCCUGCGCUGCAGCUACCGCGGCAUCUGCUGCUGCCGCAGUAGCUGCAGCCACAGCAAUUGCGUGCUUACUCUGCUCCUUCUCAUUCUCAGAAAUAUAAGAUCUCAG